rnacentral:lncRNA from 1 species
CACAUAGAAGGGAUGAUGUGAUGUAUCUCUGUAUUUGCUUUCUGGCUGAAAUUUAGAACUGAUUAGUAAAGACAGGAUCGAUGACCUUUGUUAAGUCCUGUUUACCAGACUAGUAUGGAAGUUACUUAAAAUUGAGCCAACAAUUCUUCCCUGGAAGGGGGAGGGAGAUUGCUGAGGUCUUCAGGAGGAUCUUGCACUGAAAUCCCAGAAGAAAGAAAUGGUUGCAGCUGGCAGAUCUUUCAGAGAGUUCAAGAUGAAAAACAUGGCAAACCAAAGGGUGGCUGUCCUCAGCCUGAAGGUGCAGCACUGUAGAUGGUACAAUGUCUUUGGCUUCUGUCUGAUCAAUGGGUGUUGAAAGUCACUUCAGAAGGUACAUGGAAGAGUCCAGGGAUUAUCAGAAAAAGACUUACAAGAAAUUUCCUGUGAAGAUACAAGAGGAAAGGAAAAUGGACUGUGGCCACUUGUCCAAACACAGUAACAAGGACCGAUCCCACAUAUUUCAACUCUAUUUGCUAGGCACAUUCACAUGUUCUAACCUACUUCACUCAUGUGCUUACAUUACUUUAUUAUUACUUAUUCUCACUGGAAAGCAUACUGAUAGUAGAAAAUAGACUUUGCUAACUGGGAGAACAGUAGUAAUUAUUCCAUAGACACAUUGUUUUAAAAUCAUAUUUAGAUAAAUUCAUAACUAGAAUGAUUUUUUUUCUAAAGCAUAAAAGCUGUGCACUUAAUAGCUGGAUCAUUGUAUUUGUAAUGGAAACAAUUAAUAUUGCAUUUUAGUGUCUGCUUUUGUAUUAAGAACCAACAGAAAGAUCCAGGAAGAAAAAGAUUAGAGCCUAUCUGUAUUUUAAAAAAGCAACACAUGGUAUAAAUAUAAAUUAUUGUUUCCACCUUGUCUGACUGGGAGGUUCUGAAAGCAUUGUGCAAAUUAAGUCAAGUGAUUUUCAAAACAUGAGAGAUGCUAUUUGUACAUUACCAUCAGAAGAAACCAUAUAUGUGGAUUGAUUGUGUACUAUGAAUAGCAGUAAUAGCAUUUACACAGCAUUUCCAGCCAUGAAAAAAAUACUAAUUAAAAAAAAAAUUGCAAAGGGGGAAAAUGAAGUAAUGGCUUUUUUUUUUUUUUUUUUUUUUUUUUUUUUUUUUUUUUUUUUAAAUCAUAGUUUUUCACACCAUUAUCUAUGCUUGAGAAUAAAACUGUUCACUGCCUUUAGGCA